rnacentral:snRNA from 1 species
GUGUUCGCUUUGGCAGCACAUAUACUAACAGAAUGAUGUAGAGAUUAGCAUGGCCCCUUGAAAGGAUGGCAUGCAAAUUCAUGAAAUCUUCAUAUUUGAA